rnacentral:snRNA from 1 species
UGUUUCUCUGGAAUGUAGUCCAGC